GAUGAACGCUGGCGGCGUGCCUAAUACAUGCAAGUCGAGCGAACAGACGAGGAGCUUGCUCCUCUGACGUUAGCGGCGGACGGGUGAGUAACACGUGGAUAACCUACUUAUAAGACUGGGAUAACUUCGGAAAUCGGGAUCAAACACGGGAUAAAAUAUUGAACCCUAGGGUUGAUUAGGAAAGUACGGUUUUGCGGUAUCUACUGGAGGAUCCGCGCCGGAUUAGUUUGUUGGUAAGGUAACGGCUUACCAAGGCGACGAUGGGUAGCCGACCUGAGAGGGUGGUCGGCCACACUGGAACUGAGACACGGUCCAGACUCCUACGGGAGGCAGCAGUAGGGAAUCUUACGCAAUGGGCGAAAGCCUGACGGAGCAACGCCGCGUGAGUGAUGAAGGUCUUCGGAUCGUAAAACUCUGUUAUUAGGGAAGAACAAAUGUGUAAGUAACUAUGCACGUCUUGACGGUACCUAAUCAGAAAGCCACGGCUAACUACGUG
rnacentral:rRNA from 1 species